rnacentral:rRNA from 1 species
ACUAUCAUUAACUGAAUCCAUAGGUUAAUGAGGCGAACCGGGGGAACUGAAACAUCUAAGUACCCCGAGGAAAAGAAAUCAACCGAGAUUCCCCCAGUAGCGGCGAGCGAACGGGGAGGAGCCCAGAGCCUGAAUCAGUGUGUGUGUUAGUGGAAGCGUCUGGAAAGGCGCGCGAUACAGGGUGACAGCCCCGUACACAAAAAUGCACAUACUGUGAGCUCGAUGAGUAGGGCGGGACACGUGGUAUCCUGUCUGAAUAUGGGGGGACCAUCCUCCAAGGCUAAAUACUCCUGACUGACCGAUAGUGAACCAGUACCGUGAGGGAAAGGCGAAAAGAACCCCGGCGAGGGGAGUGAAAAAGAACCUGAAACCGUGUACGUACAAGCAGUGGGAGCCUCUUAAUGGGGUGACUGCGUACCUUUUGUAUAAUGGGUCAGCGACUUAUAUUCUGUAGCAAGGUUAACCGAAUAGGGGAGCCGAAGGGAAACCGAGUCUUAACUGGGCGUUAAGUUGCAGGGUAUAGACCCGAAACCCGGUGAUCUAGCCAUGGGCAGGUUGAAGGUUGGGUAACACUAACUGGAGGACCGAACCGACUAAUGUUGAAAAAUUAGCGGAUGACUUGUGGCUGGGGGUGAAAGGCCAAUCAAACCGGGAGAUAGCUGGUUCUCCCCGAAAGCUAUUUAGGUAGCGCCUCGUGAAUUCAUCUCCGGGGGUAGAGCACUGUUUCGGCAAGGGGGUCAUCCCGACUUACCAACCCGAUGCAAACUGCGAAUACCGGAGAAUGUUAUCACGGGAGACACACGGCGGGUGCUAACGUCCGUCGUGAAGAGGGAAACAACCCAGACCGCCAGCUAAGGUCCCAAAGUCAUGGUUAAGUGGGAAACGAUGUGGGAAGGCCCAGACAGCCAGGAUGUUGGCUUAGAAGCAGCCAUCAUUUAAAGAAAGCGUAAUAGCUCACUGGUCGAGUCGGCCUGCGCGGAAGAUGUAACGGGGCUAAACCAUGCACCGAAGCUGCGGCAGCGACACUAUGUNNNNNNNNNNGCUCACUGGUCGAGUCGGCCUGCGCGGAAGAUGUAACGGGGCUAAACCAUGCACCGAAGCUGCGGCAGCGACGCUUAUGCGUUGUUGGGUAGGGGAGCGUUCUGUAAGCCUGUGAAGGUGGCCUGUGAGGGUUGCUGGAGGUAUCAGAAGUGCGAAUGCUGACAUAAGUAACGAUAAAGCGGGUGAAAAGCCCGCUCGCCGGAAGACCAAGGGUUCCUGUCCAACGUUAAUCGGGGCAGGGUGAGUCGACCCCUAAGGCGAGGCCGAAAGGCGUAGUCGAUGGGAAACAGGUUAAUAUUCCUGUACUUGGUGUUACUGCGAAGGGGGGACGGAGAAGGCUAUGUUGGCCGGGCGACGGUUGUCCCGGUUUAAGCGUGUAGGCUGGUUUUCCAGGCAAAUCCGGAAAACCAAGGCUGAGGCGUGAUGACGAGGCACUACGGUGCUGAAGCGACAAAUGCCCUGCUUCCAGGAAAAGCCUCUAAGCAUCAGGUAACAUCAAAUCGUACCCCAAACCGACACAGGUGGUCAGGUAGAGAAUACCAAGGCGCUUGAGAGAACUCGGGUGAAGGAACUAGGCAAAAUGGUGCCGUAACUUCGGGAGAAGGCACGCUGAUAUGUAGGUGAAGCGACUUGCUCGUGGAGCUGAAAUCAGUCGAAGAUACCAGCUGGCUGCAACUGUUUAUUAAAAACACAGCACUGUGCAAACACGAAAGUGGACGUAUACGGUGUGACGCCUGCCCGGUGCCGGAAGGUUAAUUGAUGGGGUCAGCGGUAACGCGAAGCUCUUGAUCGAAGCCCCGGUAAACGGCGGCCGUAACUAUAACGGUCCUAAGGUAGCGAAAUUCCUUGUCGGGUAAGUUCCGACCUGCACGAAUGGCGUAAUGAUGGCCAGGCUGUCUCCACCCGAGACUCAGUGAAAUUGAACUCGCUGUGAAGAUGCAGUGUACCCGCGGCAAGACGGAAAGACCCCGUGAACCUUUACUAUAGCUUGACACUGAACAUUGAGCCUUGAUGUGUAGGAUAGGUGGGAGGCUUUGAAGUGUGGACGCCAGUCUGCAUGGAGCCG